GACGAACCGUGCGAACGUUAUUCGGAAUCACUGGGCUUAAAGCGCGUGUAGGCGGGCCGGCACGUCGGUCGCUGAAAUCCCCCGGCUCAACCGGGGAGCGGCGCCGAUACGACCGGCCUGGAGGGGCGUAGGGGGAUCGGGAACGUCCGGUGGAGCGGUGAAAUGCGUUGAGAUCGGAGGAACGCCCGUGGCGAAAGCGCGGUCCUGGACGCCUGCUGACGCUGAGAC
rnacentral:rRNA from 1 species